GACGAACGCUGGCGGCGUGCCUAAUACAUGCAAGUCGAGCGAAGUUUUUCUGGUGCUUGCACUAGAAAAACUUAGCGGCGAACGGGUGAGUAACACGUAAAGAACCUGCCUCAUAGACUGGGACAACUAUUGGAAACGAUAGCUAAUACCGGAUAACAGUAUUUCUCGCAUGAGAGAUAUUUAAAAGUUGGUUAUGCUAACACUAUGAGAUGGCUUUGCGGUGCAUUAGCUAGUUGGUGGGGUAAAGGCCCACCAAGGCGACGAUGCAUAGCCGACCUGAGAGAGUGAUCGGCCACACUGGGACUGAGACACGGCCCAGACUCCUGCGGGAGGCAGCAGUAGGGAAUCUUACGCAAUGGGCGAAAGCCUGACGGAGCAACGCCGCGUGAGUGAAGAAGGAUUUCGGUUCGUAAAGCUCUGUUGUUAGGGAAGAAUGGAUAUGUAGUAACUAUACAUGUAAGAGACGGUACCUAACCAGAAAGCCACGGCUAACUACGUG
rnacentral:rRNA from 1 species